rnacentral:lncRNA from 13 species
GGCCAGGGGAGCACAAGCUGGGUCUGUGCUCAGCAGAAGCAUGCUCACAGCUGCAGGUGCACAUACUCAUAGUCGUUCAUGAGCCCAUCAUGCCCUAUUUCUCCAUCCAUCCUACAGCACAUCAUUAGCCAGACAGAUCGCGACGGGCUGCUUCCUCCAACUGGCACUAUGAAUAGGACCUGAUGAGCGUCAGACAGAGUUUCAGAGCCAGAAAGGACUUUGAGUUGACAGGGCCCAGCCCUCCCUUCCAGGCUUUCAUUCCAGUGGAGCAAAUGGAUGUUUAACAUGGAACUGCAGCGACUGAGAGACAAGAAGACUGAGAGACGAUGGCACCAUAGUCUUCCUUCCUUGCCUGCUUGCAGAAUGCAGAGCGAAAAGAGCUGAAAUUCAGAAGCAAUUGAUUCCUUCUUCAUUCAGAUCCUUAUCGAGAACUCAAUUAAUGGCUUGCUAAAUCUGAGCCUGCUCAAUUACAUUUCUCCGACCAUGACUAAAAACUUAAGUAUCUUUAAUUAGUUUUUAUUGAAAAACAUAAAUAAUGUACGUAUUGACUCUCCUGGGUUUAAGUUUCAGUUAUUGGAAAUAGUAAGGCAUUCCAGGCACUUUCAUUAUUGCCUGAAAGUGUCUGGUGAAUUACUGUGGGAUGGCUUUUUAAAGAUAUCCUAUAAAAAUUUCCUGGUCUGUUAUACGAGGUACCGCUAAAAGCACACUCUCCUUGUAAUUGUGAGCUUAACAGUUUUAAUCUGUUUUGAUGUUGGCUGCAUGAGGGGAAAAGGAAAUCUAAAUUUUUAUUCUCUUUUAUUCCUUGACCUUGAACAAUACCCUAUCUCUUGCCUCAAAAGCCUUGAUUCCUAUGGUUAGAGUUCCACAUAUUUUAUAGGACUGGUAGCUGUCAAGGUGUCAGCCAAUCUGCUUCAUGUGUGACAGUGACACAGCACACAGAGCACUGACACCUGAGAUUCCUAAGUGAGCCGCACUGCCACUGCUGCCACUCGAGGUUGUUAAUCUGUUCUCUACGAGGGUACUUUCUCUGAACCAAAUAUUUGGUUAGAAUGCUAGAAUGAAACUUUCCAAUUAC